rnacentral:rRNA from 1 species
UAAUAGUAUGGGGAUCUGCCCGAUAGAGGGGGAUAACUACUGGAAACGGUGGCUAAUACCGCAUAAUGUCUACGGACCAAAGCAGGGGCUCUUCGGACCUUGCACUAUCGGAUGAACCCAUAUGGGAUUAGCUAGUAGGUGGGGUAAAGGCUCACCUAGGCGACGAUCUCUAGCUGGUCUGAGAGGAUGAUCAGCCACACUGGGACUGAGACACGGCCCAG